rnacentral:tRNA from 1 species
AAUAAAGUAAGCUAAAUAAAGCUAGUGGGCUCAUACCCCAAAAAUGAUUAAUUCCUUUAUUA